rnacentral:rRNA from 1 species
AGCGAACGCUGGCGGCAGGCCUAACACAUGCAAGUCGAACGAACUCUUCGGAGUUAGUGGCGGACGGGUGAGUAACACGUGGGAACGUGCCUUUUGGUUCGGAAUAACUCAGGGAAACUUGUGCUAAUACCGAAUGUGCCCUUCGGGGGAAAGAUUUAUCCCCAUUAGAGCGGCCCGCGUCUGAUUAGCUAGUUGGUGAGGUAACGGCUCACCAAGGCGGCGAUCAGUAGCUGGUCUGAGAGGAUGACCAGCCACACUGGGACUGAGACACGGCCCAGACUCCUACGGGAGGCAGCAGUGGGGAAUCUUGCGCAAUGGGCGAAAGCCUGACGCAGCCAUGCCGCGUGAAUGAUGAAGGUCUUAGGAUUGUAAAAUUCUUUCACCGGGGACGAUAAUGACGGUACCCGGAGAAGAAGCCCCGGCUAACUUCGUG